UUUCCGUUUCUCCCCCCCCCUCCCCUUUUUCUCGCGCUCUCGCUCUCGCUCUCGGGAGCGGUAUCAUGUCGGGAAUUUUCCGAUGGAAGAGGCUGAGAGAGCCUGCGGCUCGCGCCGCCGCCGCCGUCGCUUCCGCACCCAGCCGCCCGAUCUGUACCAACUCCGCCGCCCCUCACUCUGGCCGCCACCAUCGCCGCCCCCCCGGCAUCCCGCACGGGCAGGAGCGGCACAAGUGGGCCGGCGGCGCCGACGAGUUCCACACCCGCCGCAUCCGCGCCGAGGCCAACUGCCCCCGCUGCUCCAAGCAUAUGGACGUCCUCUUCUCUAACCGCUCCCCGCCCUCCAUCGCCGGCGCCGGCGACCGCGGCGGCUACCAGGCCCUCAACGUCUGCCCCAGCUGCAAGACCGCCUAUUACUUCCGCCCCCACAAGCUCGUCCCCCUCCAGGGCACCUUCGUCGAGAUCGGCCGCGUUCGGGGCGCUGACUCCGAGAGGGAGAGGCCCGCCGGCGCCGGGGAUGACGAGGAGCAGGGGAAUCGCUUAAAGACCUCCUUUUGGGAGGCGCUGCGGUCUUCAUACGGCGGGGAGCCGCCGGAGAACUGGCCUCCCAUGCCAGGCCUGCCGGAGGGUAAUGGAUUGGCGGUGCACACCCCGCCCGGGCCGCCGUUCCCGCCGAAUUUGAACGUGGUGAGGGUGGCCGGGCCCGGCGGGGGCGGGGGAGGAGAGGGGACCGGUGGUGGUGGUGGUGGAUUCGGGGGGAAGGACGGGUGGGGCGGGUCUAAUUUGGGGAAGGAUUUGCCCACGCCCAAGGAGAUCUGCAAGGGGCUCGAUAAGUACGUGAUCGGGCAAGAUCGUGCUAAAAAGGUGCUAUCUGUUGCUGUGUACAACCACUAUAAGAGAAUCCAUCAUGCAUCUUUACAGAAAGGAUCUGGAGCUGAUUCAGGGAACUUUGAGCCUGAAAAUGAUGAUGACGAUAAUGUAGAGUUAGACAAAAGCAAUGUGCUCUUGAUGGGCCCUACUGGCUCAGGGAAGACAUUACUUGCAAAGACAUUAGCUCGCUUUGUGAAUGUGCCAUUUGUUAUUGCAGAUGCAACAACACUGACACAGGCAGGCUAUGUUGGAGAGGAUGUUGAGUCAAUAUUAUACAAGUUGCUUACGGUUGCUGACUUCAAUGUGCAAGCAGCUCAACAAGGCAUAGUAUACAUUGAUGAAGUUGAUAAAAUAACUAAGAAGGCUGAGAGCCUAAAUAUCAGUAGAGAUGUAUCUGGUGAAGGUGUUCAGCAGGCAUUACUGAAAAUGCUAGAAGGAACUAUAGUCAAUGUUCCAGAGAAGGGAGCUCGAAAGCACCCUCGUGGUGACAAUAUACAGAUAGACACAAAAGAUAUUCUUUUUAUAUGUGGUGGAGCUUUUGUUGAUUUGGAAAAGACAAUUUCAGAAAGACGACAAGAUUCUUCUAUAGGCUUUGGAGCACCAGUGCGUGCAAACAUGAGAACUGGUGGGUUAACAAAUGCUGUAGUGACAUCAUCGUUGUUGGAAUCAGUUGAAAGUAGUGAUCUUAUGGCAUAUGGCCUCAUUCCGGAAUUUAUUGGACGCUUCCCAGUACUGGUUAGUUUGUCGGCGCUGAAUGAGGACCAACUUGUUCAGGUCUUGAUGGAGCCAAAGAAUGCCCUUGGCAAACAAUUCAAGAAAUUAUUUAGCAUGAACAAUGUUAAGCUAAAAUUUACGGACACUGCACUUAGGCUGAUUUCUCAAAAAGCAAUGGCCAAGAAUACCGGUGCUCGAGGUUUAAGAGCAAUAUUGGAAAAUAUUCUUACAGAAGCCAUGUAUGAGAUCCCAGAUGUAAAGACAGGUGAUGAGCGAAUAGAUGCAGUUGUGGUGGAUGAAGAGGCUGUUGGCUCUGUUGACAGACCAGGUUGUGGAGCUAAAAUUCUUUGUGGCGAUGGAGCUUUGGAAAAGUACCUUAAAGAAAAUAAGAUAAAGGAUCGAGAGGCAAUUAUUGAUGGGUCUGAGGGUGAACUGGAAGGAGAAUCUGAACUCUCAUCUAGAGCCAUGAGCAUAUAAGCAAACUAUAGAGCCUUACUCUUCUAAAUUUUGCUGUCAACUAGGGAUCUAAGACAAUUUAGUGUUGGGAAUGGCGAUAUUCUAUUCCACCAUGAAGAGCAAUUUUAUCUGCAAAUGUUGCAGCACAAAAAUGUGCAGUGCAUGCAGAAAUUGAUUGUUGACUCCAAAGUGCAUCAGAAGCAGUUACAGCAAGGAUACGAGACUAGUGAAAUGAAGAAUGACUUGAGCUUAAUUGUCUCUCAUAUUUAAAUGAACGGGAAACUACUCACAUUUCCCCAGGCAUGUUUGCCCAAGACCAGCUCCAGUCGACAUUUGCUUGGAUGCAUGGCAAUUGCAGUUGCUGAACCUAGGUCAGGUACUAAGCUUGGGAAACUAAUAGAUAGGAAUACUCAUCUCUCUCAUGGAUGGACAGGUUAUUUAUCUACUCUUUCCUAGCAUGCUGCUUCUCAAAGAUCCAAAUUUAGGCCACAGGGUACUGAAAUGUCAAUAUCUGAAUAUUUAGCUACGUUUUAAACCUAAACAAUUUCCAUAGGAUCAUGAUUUGGUUUUCUUGCACUUCCUUUAUAUCGUCUGAGAUGAACCAAUAUUUCGGCAUCAGGCACCCAUCAAGAUGGCCGAGAUACCAGAUUCACGAGCCUUGUUUUCAUAGCACGGAGGGUCUACAAGCCAACCACUUCAUGAGCAUUUCAGGCAAUGCCAAAAGAUCUAAUUGCUUAAGGGGCAUCUAUGAGAACUCUUCUGAAGGGAUGCAGAUGACUGAACUGAGCCAGGCAUGUAGCUGCUCAGGCUCCGCUAAAACUUGAGCUGUGAGGUCGCUCGGCUUCUAUGUCUUUGGUCUCUCUCUGCCCUUGCCCCUUUCUCUUGCUCUCUUUUUUCUUUCCGUGUUUCCUGUCAUGGGAUUUAGCUAAAAGUUGCUGGAUAAAGAUACUUAUAUUUUAGCAUCAGGGGGGGCCUUUGGCUUCAGUUUUGAUUUGGUUA